GUGGUCGCUUCGGCAGCACGUAUAUUUUAAAAUUGGAAACGAUACAGAGAAGAUUAGCAUGGCCCCUGCGCAAGGACACGCAAAUUCGGAAGCGUUCCAUAUAGGC